rnacentral:rRNA from 1 species
UACGGAGGGGGCUAGCGUUGUUCGGAAUUACUGGGCGUAAAGCGCGCGUAGGCGGCUUUGUAAGUUAGAGGUGAAAGCCCGGAGCUCAACUCCGGAAUUGCCUUUAAGACUGCAUCGCUAGAAUCAUGGAGAGGUGAGUGGAAUUCCGAGUGUAGAGGUGAAAUUCGUAGAUAUUCGGAAGAACACCAGUGGCGAAGGCGACUCACGGGACAUGUAUUGACGCUGAGGAGCGAAAGCGUGGGUAGCGAACAGG